CCCCGUCUUGACACAAUUGUUAUCCUCGGUUUAAAACAUGGUGAGGUAAGAUCAUCUCAAGGACAGUCCAUCUACAAAAACUCAUCAAAGUCACUGAACAUCACUGGUUUGAAUUGGAAUAUGAACGAGCGACAUGAAUUAUUCUGGACGACAAGCAAAUCACGUGCAGUCGGAAGUCAAAAGAAUGUUAUAACUCGUUUAAUCUUUUUAGUUGUGUAUUUUUUUGUGAACUUAUGAUGAAAAAACUUGACAAGUGUAGUGGAAUGCAAACCAUUUAAAUACAAAUAUAUUAUAUUAACUUUAAA